CGCACCCGAGAUGGCUUUACUUUUAGGAGUAGGGUCUUAUUGGGACGUUUUUACAUUGGCUCGCGCCAGUGUUGUUUACCUUGAAAAAAUCAGAGUGUUCAAAGCAGGCAUUUGCUUGAAUACAUUAGCAUGGAAUAAUAGAAUAGGACUAUGGUUCUGUUUUGUUGGUUUUCAGGACCAGAGUA
rnacentral:rRNA from 1 species